rnacentral:rRNA from 1 species
UACGUAGGUGGCAAGCGUUGUCCGGAUUUACUGGGCGUAAAGAGCGCGCAGGCGGUCGUGCACGUCGGGUGUGAAAGCCCCCGGCUCAACUGGGGAGGGUCACGCGAUACUGCUCGACUCGAAGGCAGGAGAGGGAAGUGGAAUUCCCGGUGUAGUGGUGAAAUGCGUAGAUAUCGGGAGGAACACCAGUGGCGAAGGCGACUUCCUGGCCUGUUCUUGACGCUGAGGCGCGAAAGCUAGGGGAGCAAACGGG